rnacentral:rRNA from 1 species
CCCUUAGAUGUUCUGGGCCGCACGCGCGCUACACUGAUGCAUGCAACGAGCUCUAUCCUUGGCCGGAAGGCCUGGGUAAUCUGUGAACGUGCAUCGUGAUAGGGAUAGAUUAUUGCAAUUAUUAAUCUUGAACGAGGAAUUCCUAGUAAACGCAAGUCAUCAGCUUGCAUUGAUUACGUCCCUGCCCUUUGUACACACCGCCCGUCGCACCUACCGAUCGAAGGUAAUGAUGAGCCCUCAGGAUUGUGGCCUCGUCGCGUCAGCGUCUUGGCUGCGAGAAUCUGUGCAAAUCCCUACCUUUAGAGGAAGGUGAAGUCGUAACA